UCAACAACCGCAAAAACCGCUAACAAGCUGACAAUGUUAUGGCUUGGACACUGAGGACAUCUGGCGAAUAGAUUUGUUUUCAAUUCUGGGGCAUAGGCUAGCCCUUUAGCCCCUACCUUCUUCUUCGUUCCCUGCGCUUCACACCCUUUUCCUAUCAAUGGAAAGUCCUGAAAUCCCCCACCAGGUGCCACUGCAGUUUAAUAACAACAAUGACUGUCAUGGUUAGUGAACGGUUAGUUGCUGUUUUUCACGUUUCGAUGCAGUAUAAAGUGAACUAUUGAACAUUUCAAAAAGUUUGUUAAAUAGCAUAAUGUGGUAAAGCAGAUUAAGUGUGAAACCAACAUUAUAGUGAGAUCCUUGUGAAAGGAAAAUAGCAUGAUCCAGGCUGUUCUUCAAUUGCAAAGAAAGAGAAUUAUGAUUGAAACAAAUGCAAAAUAUCCAACUGGAAUUCUCUUCAUAUUCGUGUAUUCGUGGUAAUUUUGGAAAAUAUUCUUUCCAGAGAAUAACACCUUAAAAUAAAUAACUGUGGUAGUGAUAAUGUAGCAGUAUUGUGAGUUAGUACUCUGUCCACAAUAUUCUGUCCAGGGAAUGACGCCUCAAAGAGAAAGAACAGGGUUACGAUCUUCAACAAUAUUGCACAAAUUUUGAUGCUGAAAGACUUGGAAACCAUGCUGUCCACCACGUCCAGAAGCUGAGGAACAUUCUGCAUGUACAAUGUUCUGAAUGGCACAUCUUAAUGCAAGGAACUUCAGCUAUCCAAUCUAGGACUUGCAUCCAAUCGUGCAGGCUGCAUGGAAGUCUCAUUUACCUUUGCUGUGAACAUCAUGAACACAUACACUAUUCGAAGGUUUGUGUUUACAUAGCAGUGGUGUUGCUGUCCAAUGUGGCGUGCUGUUGCAGCCUAUGGUGGUGAAAGAUAUCUGCAUCAAGUUGCUGUUCCUUGUGCAUCCAAGGUGCUGGAUUUGUGCUACAAAAGUGACAUCCAGUAUUGUGUUAAAUUGCUAUUUGUAUCUAUGCAGUUAACCUUUUAUAUGUUGAGAAGGAACAAAAAAAAGUAAUAUGGGAGGAUUAUGUCAAACAAAUAAUAAACAUGUCUGCUAUGGGGGAAUGAAGAGGAAGUUGGGGUGGGAUAUAAGAAGUGAAGUAUAUUUUUAAUUAAUACGCAGUACUUAAUACGCGCUGAUGAAAUCUGUUACUAACCCAUAUAACCUUCCCCACUUACACAUCCAUUCCUCAAACCUUAUAAGCCCCUUCCCACAUCCACUCACAUCCAUUCCUCAAACCCCACAAUCUCCAACAUCAAAUUCACAAAAUGAUUAUAUAUAUAGAAACAUUUAUAUUUAACUAAAUAAAAUGUCAUUA